ensembl:snRNA U6 U6 spliceosomal RNA
AGUCAUGCAAUUUGGUAACCAUAUACUAAAGUUGGAUUGAUACAGAGACAAUUAGUAUGGCUUCUGUGUAAGGAUACACACAAAUUUGUGGAGAAUGUUCUAUAUCUUU